rnacentral:rRNA from 1 species
GACGAGCGCUGGCGGCGUGCUUAACACAUGCAAGUCGAACGGAAAGGCCCUGCUUUUGUGGGGUGCUCGAGUGGCGAACGGGUGAGUAACACGUGAGUAACCUGCCCUUGACUUUGGGAUAACUUCAGGAAACUGGGGCUAAUACCGGAUAGGAGCUCCUGCUGCAUGGUGGGGGUUGGAAAGUUUCGGCGGUUGGGGUUGGACUCGCGGCUUAUCAGCUUGUUGGUGGGGUAGUGGCUUACCAAGGCUUUGACGGGUAGCCGGCCUGAGAGGGUGACCGGCCACAUUGGGACUGAGAUACGGCCCAGACUCCUACGGGAGGCAGCAGUGGGGAAUAUUGCACAAUGGGCGGAAGCCUGAUGCAGCAACGCCGCGUGCGGGAUGACGGCCUUCGGGUUGUAAACCGCUUUCGCCUGUGACGAAGCGUGAGUGACGGUAAUGGGUAAAGAAGCACCGGCUAACUACGUG